rnacentral:rRNA from 1 species
CGUAGGGGGCUAGCGUUAUCCGGAAUUACUGUGCGUAAAGGGUGCGUAGGCGGUCUUUCAAGUCAGGAGUGAAAGGCUACGGCUCAACCGUAGUAAGCUCUUGAAACUGUAAGACUUGAGUGCAGGAGAGGAGAGUGGAAUUCCUAGUGUAGCGGUGAAAUGCGUAGAUAUCAGGAGGAACACCAGUAGCGAAUGCGGCUCUCUGGACUGUAACUGACGCUGAGGCACGAAAGCGUGGGGAGCAAACAGGAUUAGAUA